rnacentral:rRNA from 1 species
GACGAACGCUGGCGGCGUGCUUAACACAUGCAAGUCGAGCGGUAAGGCCCUUUCGGGGGUACACGAGCGGCGAACGGGUGAGUAACACGUGGGUGACCUGCCUUUAGCUCUGGGAUAAGCCUGGGAAACCGGGUCUAAUACCGGAUAUGACUCCGCGGCGCAUGUUGGUGGGGUGGAAAGCCUUGUGCGGCUGGAGAGUCGGGCCCGCGGCCUAUCAGCUUGGUUGGUGGGGUGAUGGCCUACCAAGGCGACGGACGGGUAGCCGGCCUGAGAGGGCGACCGGCCACACUGGGACUGAGACACGGCCCAGACUCCUACGGGAGGCAGCAGUGGGGAAUCUUGCGCAAUGGGCGAAAGCCUGACGCAGCGACGCCGCGUGAGGGAUGA